rnacentral:lncRNA from 1 species
GGGAGGAGUGGCUGGGGGAAGAUGUUUGAAACUGAGGUGAGGAAUUUGGGACUCUACCCAGCCCCUUAAACGGGUCUUUCUUUGGAGAUUGCCAUUUGAGGACACCUUCUACAUCUGAGAAAACGUGCAUUGGUUUUGCAGCAUUUUUCUCCUCCAAAUAAAGGUCAGUAAGCUAACAGCUACACUGUAAGAAGUGAGUUUAUGGAUAGUGUUAACCACCUUAU